rnacentral:rRNA from 1 species
UAAGGUAGCGAAAUUCCUUGUCGGGUAAGUUCCGACCUGCACGAAUGGUGUAACGAUCUGGGCACUGUCUCAGCCAUGAGCUCGGUGAAAUUGUAGUAUCGGUGAAGAUGCCGAUUACCCGCAACGGGACGAAAAGACCCCGUGAACCUUUACUGUAACUUGGCAUUGGGUUUCGAUUAACGAUGCGUAGGAUAGGUGGGAGAUUUUGAUCCGUGCGUUCUGGCGUACGGGGAGUCAUCCUUGAAAUACCACCCUUGGCCGUUUAGAUGUCUAACCUGCGUCGGAUAGCCCGGCGGGGGACAGUGUCUGGUGGGUAGUUUGACUGGGGCGGUCUCCUCCCAAAGAGUAACGGAGGAGCACGAAGGUUGGCUAAUCAUGGUCGGAAAUCAUGAGGUUAGUGUAAUGGCACAAGCCAGCUUGACUGCGAGACGUACAUGUCGAGCAGGUACGAAAGUAGGUCAUAGUGAUCCGGUGGUUCUGAAUGGAAGGGCCAUCGCUCAACGGAUAAAAGGUACUCCGGGGAUAACAGGCUUAUCUCCCCCAAGAGUUCACAUCGACGGGGAGGUUUG